UGCUUAACUACUUUGUUGUGAUUCUAGAGCACAUAGGAAAAGAGCAAAACUUGCAAACAAGCUGGAUCAACUUGGUAUGUACAGUACAACAGUCAAGCUGAAAGCAUGUACAUGUUUUCUUUAAUACAUUUCCAUAGUCAAAAUGAUCGGCCAAUUACUUCUUUUUUUCUGUACCGGUUGUGACUACUGAUGAUAAGAAAAUAGCAGCAUGCUGUUCAGAUUUUGGAGCUAAGGUUACCUCAUAGUUGUACGGACUGUUUAUCUGUUUGAGCCUUGUAUGCAUUGCUAAUACAGCCAGGAGCCUAGUGGCUGCUUCACUACAUUCAAUAAUUAUGUAAACUGUCAUCUGUGAUCAUAUACUUGUCGCAAGUUCAAAGUGAUGUUUUUUCUGGGUUUGUGUUGAUUAUACAGUCUGUGUUGAGUUGAAUGUAAAGUUUUAGUCUUUGUUUCGUUAAAGCUUUGGUCAUUGGUCAGUUUGAUGUGUUUAGAACAUUUGGGAUUUUAGUAAAACAAAGUAGUUUUUGUUCAAUUUGGACUUGGAAAGUUUGUGGCUUUUGAUUGUACUGUGUUGUGAGCAGUGAUGGCUCCAGCAGUGAAGCCUGUGGAGAAUGAAACUGCUUUCAAGGAAUUGAAAGUUGAGUUGCUUUCAGCUAUGUCUGGGUCUGUAAAUGAAGGUAAGGCUCGAGUGGGUUUAGUUUUGAAGAAACUGAGUCCAUUGUGAGUAUUACUGUGGUUGGAGCAUCUGGGGACCUUACUAAGAAGAAGAUAUUCCCGCUCUUUUCGUGCUUUAUUAUGAGGGUCGCGUCCCUAAGCACUUCACUAUUUUUGGUUAUGCUCGGAGUAAGAUGACUGAUGCGGAGCUAAGAACUAUGGUUAGCAAGAUGCUUGCAGAAUUGACUGGAGGUGAGAUUUUACAAGGUUAACUCUAGCAUGCUCUAAAAGAAUGACAAAUUGGAUGUGGAUUAGGAUAUGAUCCAUAUUCGCCAACUCCUUGUUUGGUGGCUUUUUGAGAUUCACACUACAAAACUUUUGGUGCUAUGGAUCUUUCUCUUUACAUUUUGUUAAUAGUUGGAAAGUUAACAAUUGAUGUACUAGAACUGUAUGCAAGAUUUUAUCAGUAAUAUGAAUGUUUAUCAAAUCUAUCAAGUGUAUGUAUAAUUUGUGUGGAAUGUAAGUCUGAUACUUCUGUAUGCAUCUCCUGCACUAACAGUUUUCAAAUCCUUGCGAUAAUCAUUAAUCAUACUUUUCAGCCUGCUAUGGU